rnacentral:lncRNA from 1 species
ACUGCUCGGGCCACGGCCGCGCCUUUCUGGCCGGCGGAGGUCUCCCCGCGUGCGAGUGCAACGCGUGCUACUCCGGCGACGACUGCUCCCGGCUGCUGCUCGACUGCCCCGCCGACGCCGACAGGUGAGACGCCCGUUCCCAAUUCUGCAUGGUAUCAACGUCGCCGACGCGAUAAUUCAAAUCUCGUUAAGAGAAGAACAGGAAGGAGUUCUUGUUUGGCUCAAUGGUGUUUGAUCAGCUCAUGAAACAAGCGAGUGAUUCUUGCUUGCCUUCGCAGUGAGGAUCCAUUGUUUUUGGAGCCAUACUGGCAGCAGCAUGCAUCAACCAGCUCGAUCGUAUCGCCGGGAUGGCAGUGCAUGAGUUCUCAGACCAUUGGCGGUGACUUCAAUUCCGCCGAGCUCGACAGGCAUGUUCGUCUCCUUCACAAAGCUGCGGAGAACGCAAUCACGGAUGGAAAGUUCAUCCUCUUUGGAUCAGAGGUGGCCGAGCUCCUCCAUGCUCUGGUUCACGCCCUCUCUGCCGACAAUGCCUCCUCAUCCCCUGCAUGUCUCGUUGCAUCGGCUCCCCACAACCCAGUAAGUAUCCUGCAAUUCUCAACAGCUUAUUUAGCUUCAAACACAUUCAUCACCACACACAUCAGUCAAACCUAUCAGAAAAUGUAAUUUGCUGAGCAUGAACAACACUGUAACAACACAAUUCUAAGAUUGGUGUAGUGAUCAACCUUUCAAUUGCUUAUGCAGAGACCAUAAAGUUAGUAUGAAGUUAUACUUUCUUCUGGUAUUCAUUUGCAGUUUGGAAGAAGACAACAUGAAUGUAUAGGAAUUAGAUCUAAUUAUGUGAAAGGAUCAGUCUCACCUGCAACAAAGAUCAUCGAGUAUGUCACUUCGCCGAACGAUCCAGAUGGGCUCUUGCAGCAAUCUGUUCUCGGUGCAUCGGCAGUGAUCCAUGAUCAUGCCUACUUUUGGCCCCACUAUUCAUCAAUUCCAGCUCCAGCAGAUGAAGAUAUUAUGCUGUUUACCAUUUCCAAGAUCUCAGGCCAUGCUGGUAUCAGGCUUUGGUAUGUUCCUUCUUAUACACUUCAAUGCAUUUUGUGUCAUGAAACCUCCUAGUUUAAAGCAACAGUAACAUACUUGCAGCUUCACCUAUUGGGCUUGAGUAAGACUUGGAGGACAAGCAGUGAUGGAAAUCCUAGCUGUGACUGAGUUCUGAUAAAUUGUUGCUCCAUAGCCUACAAACAUCAACAUUAGAAAGAAACAGAGCAAAAACUUCUUGUAACAACAAUUUUUUUUCUCUUUUCCUUCAAAGAUAAUAAAUUAAUCGCCAGUGAUCUUGUAGACAAGUUGACAAUGUCCUAAAGCCCAAAGCUAAUCAGGGUUAAAUAAAUAGCAUCAUUACGCAACAAUCUCUUUAAUUAGGCAAAAAUGAUAAUAUAGUUCUUUGCUGUAUUUUCACUCUGAUGUAGGUGGGCAGUAAUAAAGGAUCAGAAAACAUACCAGAAAGCUGCAGAAUACAUGUCUUUGAACACCAUGGUUGUUUCUUGUGAUGUCCAACUAAGAGUUCUGAAGCUCAUCAGAGUGGUGAUAGCAGAGAUGGGAAAAGGAGGAGGCAUUUUCGAAUUUGGUUACAAGACACUGAAGACGAG